rnacentral:tRNA from 1 species
GCCAACGUAGCUCAGGCGGUAAGAGCGGACGUUUCAUAAGCGUCAGGUCGGUGGUUCGAGCCCACCCGUUGGCACCA